rnacentral:rRNA from 1 species
CGGCGAGUGAAGCGACAACAGCUCAAAUUUGAAAUCUGGCCUUCGGGUCCGAAUUGUAAUUUGUAGAGGAUGCUUUGGGUGCGGUACCUUCCGAGUUCCCUGGAACGGGACGCCGGAGAGGGUGAGAGCCCCGUACGGUUGGAUACCAAGCCUAUGUAUAGCUCCUUCGACGAGUCGAGUAGUUUGGGAAUGCUGCUCUAAAUGGGAGGUAAAUUUCUUCUAAAGCUAAAUACCGGCCAGAGACCGAUAGCGCACAAGUAGAGUGAUCGAAAGAUGAAAAGCACUUUGAAAAGAGGGUUAAAUAGCACGUGAAAUUGUUGAAAGGGAAGCGUUUGCGACCAGACCUUUUCCAGGCGGAUCAUCCGGUGUUCUCACCGGUGCACUUCGCCUGGUUUAGGCCAGCAUCGGUUUUCUUAGGGGGAUAAAGGUUUAGGGCACGUAGCUCCUUCGGGAGUGUUAUAGCCCUCUACGUAAUACCCUUCGGGGGACCGAGGACCGCGCAUUGCAAGGAUGCUGGCGUAAUGGUCGUCAACGACCCGUCUUGAAACACGGACCAAGGAGUCGAACAUUUGUGCGAGUGUUUGGGUGUUAAACCCUCACGCGUAAUGAAAGUGAACGGAGGUGAGAGCCCUUCGGGGUGCAUCAUCGACCGAUCCUGAUGUCUUCGGAUGGAUUUGAGUAAGAGCAUAACUGUUCGGAC